AGAGUUUGAUCCUGGCUCAGGAUGAACGCUGGCGGCGUGCCUAAUACAUGCAAGUCGAGCGAACAGAUAAGGAGCUUGCUCCUUUGACGUUAGCGGCGGACGGGUGAGUAACACGUGGAUAACCUACCUAUAAGACUGGGAUAACUUCGGGAAACCGGAGCUAAUACCGGAUAACAUAUUGAACCGCAUGGUUCAAUAGUGAAAGGCGGCUUUGCUGUCACUUAUAGAUGGAUCCGCGCCGUAUUAGCUAGUUGGUAAGGUAACGGCUUACCAAGGCAACGAUACGUAGCCGACCUGAGAGGGUGAUCGGCCACACUGGAACUGAGACACGGUCCAGACUCCUACGGGAGGCAGCAGUAGGGAAUCUUCCGCAAUGGGCGAAAGCCUGACGGAGCAACGCCGCGUGAGUGAUGAAGGUCUUCGGAUCGUAAAACUCUGUUAUCAGGGAAGAACAAAUGUGUAAGUAACUGUGCACAUCUUGACGGUACCUGAUCAGAAAGCCACGGCUAACUACGUGCCAGCAGCCGCGGUAAUACGUAGGUGGCAAGCGUUAUCCGGAAUUAUUGGGCGUAAAGCGCGCGUAGGCGGUUUUUUAAGUCUGAUGUGAAAGCCCACGGCUCAACCGUGGAGGGUCAUUGGAAACUGGAAAACUUGAGUGCAGAAGAGGAAAGUGGAAUUCCAUGUGUAGCGGUGAAAUGCGCAGAGAUAUGGAGGAACACCAGUGGCGAAGGCGACUUUCUGGUCUGUAACUGACGCUGAUGUGCGAAAGCGUGGGGAUCAAACAGGAUUAGAUACCCUGGUAGUCCACGCCGUAAACGAUGAGUGCUAAGUGUUAGGGGGUUUCCGCCCCUUAGUGCUGCAGCUAACGCAUUAAGCACUCCGCCUGGGGAGUACGACCGCAAGGUUGAAACUCAAAGGAAUUGACGGGGACCCGCACAAGCGGUGGAGCAUGUGGUUUAAUUCGAAGCAACGCGAAGAACCUUACCAAAUCUUGACAUCCUUUGACCGCUCUAGAGAUAGAGUCUUCCCCUUCGGGGGACAAAGUGACAGGUGGUGCAUGGUUGUCGUCAGCUCGUGUCGUGAGAUGUUGGGUUAAGUCCCGCAACGAGCG
rnacentral:rRNA from 1 species